AGAUACUUGGCUUAGUGGUUAAGAGCACUUGCUGUUUUGCCAAGUAUGGGGUUCAAUUCCCAGUAUCCA
rnacentral:tRNA from 1 species